UAAAAUGCAGAGAUAGGAAAAAGUAGUAGCUGUCUCCCUGUUAAAGAGAGCUGGUGGUCGGUGUAAAUCAGCCAUAGACAGAUAUGAAGUACAUCCUUGAGCAUCUUUUGUGAACGUGUUAGUAGCAAAAGACGGGAAGACCGUUACAUCGUUUAAGUGGAAAAUAACCGUUGUUAUUUUCAAAUAGGGUGGUACCGCGAUAUUUUCGUCCCUUCU
rnacentral:ncRNA from 1 species